rnacentral:tRNA from 1 species
GGCGCGGUGGCCUAGUGGUAAGGCGUCUGUCUCGUAAACAGAAGAUCGAGGGUUCGAAUCCCUCUCGUGCCC